rnacentral:lncRNA from 1 species
GUGAGAAGGGAAGGGUGGAUCCUAAAAGAUCCCUUUUACAGUUGGAUUCUCCCUCUUGGAUCUGGCUCUGCCUUAGUCCGACCUAGAGGGAUCAGCUUCGCCCACGCCCACUCUCACCCGGAACCUUUCAUCUCUUAUUGAAGCCUUUUAGGCCCAUUGGGAUGUUCAUUAGAACUCUGAAAACUACAGUUCUCCCCUUUAUGAGGACUGCACCACAGCUCGCCCUCUCCUGGGUUCCGAAACAAGGUCUCACUGUGUCACCCAGGCUGGAGAGCAGUGGCACGAUCAUAGCUCACUGAUCACAUGGCAGCCUCAAACUCCUGGACUCAGUGGGUCCUCCUGCCUCAGCAUCCUGAGUAGCUGGGACUACAGCCUGGUUGCAGAGUGAGCCCAUGGGACAGCCCUCUGAAAUUAUACUGCUUACAACCAUGCUGAGUCUGCAAGGACUUCGUCCAAGCCUUUCCGUCCAGGACCUCAAACAGAUCCAAUCACAAGAAGAGAGAUUUCAGGAAAGAGAAAAUUAUUCCUAUCAUCGGGGUUUUUGAAGAACAUGAAAUGACUGGGAAAAUAAUCAUGUUAAGUGGAAAAAAAAAAGAAAUCUAUCUGUUGUAAUUUUCAAAUAAUUUUUAAAUAAAUUUGAAAAAUUAAGAGAA